GCACAUGCUUUAGCUUGUAAAAAAAAAAAAAAAUAAAAUAAUAAUAAUAAUAAAUCAUCUGCAUAUGGCAGAACUGCAAAUAUAAUAGAAUUGCAAAAUGGAAAAAUAUGUUUUUUUUUCCCUACAAACCAAAAUGUUUUCUAGUGCAGGACUGUUGCUAUCAGGAAAAUCAUGAUGCCAAGUCAAGAGGUUUAAGAGGAACUAAAUCAUAAAAAUCAUAACAUGAAACAUGCUAAUGUUGGUUUUUGUCUUGCAUCACAGGGAGAGAAUACAUAAAGAAGGUCCCAGGUUUUCUUUUCCUUGUGCCUCUGUGAAGCUAUAAAGGUAAAAUAAUGGCAUCAAGCUCCACACCCCAUGGGGGGAGCACAAGCACUGAAGCCCCAGUACAGGUACUAGGAUGUCAUAAAGUGUAUUCGAGUCACUGUGCAGCACAUCUGUGUCUUCAGCAGGUCUGUAUGACUGAAAAUGUGUGUAUACAACACUUUCUGUGAGCAGCCUCGUGCCCUGCAGUGCUGGUCCUGGCCAGGGGCUUGUCAUCAUACAGGGGGGAAGGAGAAAGGGAGGACUGUUAAUUUAAUUACUUCGGGUACAUGUUCUCAGAAGGUAGCUGGCACAGUAGUUGGGCCAGGUAAUGAUUGCUCAUCACUGGCUCUGUUUCAGCACUCGCUUCCCAAGAAGGGUUUUUAGGAUUGAUGAUGCUUUGGGAAGAGCCCGGCUGUGAGAGCUGUGCCUGCUCCGCACCAGUCACCGCUGGGACAGCUGAGAAGCCGCUGCAGCCUCUGACCUUGGGCCAGCUCAGGAGCAGCUUAAUAAUACCAGCAAGAUCUAGCGGCCUCAAAUCCUGCGAGCCAGGGAAUAAUCUGCACUUUGACGCUGAUUCUGCGCCCGUUAGGUCGUGCUGCGGUGGGGAGCAGUCACCAUAUGGCUGCUGCGCAGCUGCACAGCCUUUAAGCUCUCUGCUAUUUGCCUGUGCCCAGGGCAUGAUUUUGCAAGGCUCUUGCUGUGUGGGAAUGAAGGAAGGAGGGCUGGCCUGUAUUGCACCAAGCCAGCGGGUCUGCCCCCUGCACCACCCCAGCCGUGAAUGUGUAAAAGUGAGUUAUUUGUGCCUGCUUACGUGGGCAGUGCGCAGCAUGGGUUCGUGGGCAGACAGAACUUGAGUUUACGUCUCUAGGUAUAAGCUCUGGGAAGAGCAGGACAAAAACAAAACAAGAAAAAAAAUCCAACCCACCACAAAAAUGACUUGAAUUAAGGUCUUGGAAAACGAUGCCAGGCUUUUCCAGAAGCUGAUGUCUGUAAAAGCAGAAGUCAGGACAUGGCAGCUCCUUGCACCAUUGCGGAGCAGUGCAGAGAGGUCAGAGCUGCCGGGGCACCUGUAGCGCCGUGCUGUUGUGCCACUGCAUUUUAAGGAUUGAUGCUGUCCACAGGGGAAGCACUGCGAUUCGAUGCAGGAGGCUGCUUCCAGAGGAAAGUCUCCUGUGACGGGAUCAGGUGGUGCCAAACGGCUGGAUCAGAUUUCCCCAAGCUGAGGAUCCGAGCCGUGGUCAGACACACAGCGCUGCUUCUCACAGAGGCGGUGGUACAGCCACAUAAAAGGAGCUUUUUCAUGACUGAUUUAAGAUGGAUAAAUAACUAUUUUUAUUUAUUUAUUAGUUGUUUGUGUCAUAUAUGCACACAGGCAUGCAUACAUACAAAAAAAAAAGGAAACUCUUCUGAGAAAAUUACAUUGGUGAUAUUAUUUUUCUUCUGCAUCUGAAAACAAGCACUUUAAGCUGCAUGUCAUUUUUAGAAAACCCCCUGAGCAUAAAUGCCAGAGUAAGGCAUCCCAUACUUAUUAAGCCACCAUCUUUACAUGCCUUAGCUGUGUGAUGCCAUGAUGGCAGCCACUGAUCUCGGUGCUUGUUCACUCACGUAUUUGUGUUUCAGGUGUGUUACAUUUUUUUUUUCAGUCAUGAGAGGCUGAGUGAACGCUUCCAGAAGGGACUGCGUGUCACUGCUGCUUAGGCCUUGCUGCAAGUAGCCUCGCCUUGUUCACUCCAUCCAUCAAUAAGAGGGCUGCAUUGCCUGGGAUUCGAUUAGACAUGAAAACUGAAAUUAAUAAUGCCAGAAUACCAAGCCUUGAUCUUCAGAUUAAAGAGCUGUCUUUAUAAGCAGUGAUCAACUACCCUGUUAACCUUCUUCUGGAUAAGAUAGAUUGCGUUUCUUAAGUCUCUCAUUUAUAAG